GUAUUACAUUUUGCUUUUUAAGCCAAUAAGACAUUCUUUAAAAUUUGUAGUACAAAAGUGUCCUACUUGAGCAAUCAAGAACAUUCUUUUCUUGCUCAGCAGGCAGAGGUGCACAAGGUAUGAAAAGGGAUUUUGUAUCGGAGUGCACACCCAAACAGGCUUUUAUUUCCCUUCUCCUCGAGCCGUCAGGCCCCCACCCAGCAAUGAUAUUGAAGGGAGGAUUAAGAAGUCGAGACUAGCACAUCCAUCACAUUAAUGAUCCUUCCGCAGGUUCACCUACGGAAA
rnacentral:misc_RNA from 1 species